CAAGGAAGGAGAGGAGGAGGAAAAAAGAGGAAGGGAGGGCCCACUGAGUCCCUACAACAUGGCGGUGCCAGUCAGGACUGCCCAUUUCUCCCAGAGCCAGCAACAGCAGACGGAGCAGCCGACCGAGCAGCAGCUGCUCUGGAGCAGUGACCCAGAGCCCCGCCCCGCCCUAGCCAGGUGGGCCUAAAAGGAUGGUCCUCGGAGAACAAAGGGAUGAUGUGUUAACUGUCAGACAGAAGAAGAGCCUGAAGGUGUCCUGGGCCCCUGUUGCUUGCCACUCUGAGGCUGAGCAGCCCCGAGACUCUGGGUAGAUCCAAGGCCAGGCUGGACUCCUUGGUGGAGGCCUGUAGUGGCUAGCAUCAGCUACUCCCCCACCCCCAUCCCUACCUCCUAGGAUUAGGGAGAGGUGACUUCUCACUUGCUAGGCUCCAGAGGAUCCUAGCCUCAGUCCCCAGCCUCUGUAGGGAUCUUCCAGCUCAACCAGGGGAGGUGGCUUGACCCUAUCAACCUGCCUUCUCUCUGGAGAUCAAGCAGGGAGGCGGCUCCUGUGCUGUGCAAAUAUCAGAGCUGCAGACAGCUUGUCUGCUUACUUACCUCCACUUAAAUAUGACUCCUUCACAGCUAACUGCUGAAGGGCCAGUAGGUCCAGCACGACUGACUAGCCAGUGAGGAAGCACGCCCAAAGUAGCAAUAAGGAGGAGGGGAAGAGGGAGGGAGGGGGGGAGCUACGCACUCCAAUAGACCGGUUGCUCUGUUUUCACUGCAAGUCAAACAAACGUCUUUGUUGGAAAAUCCCUUUGGCUGCAACUGAACAGACCGGUUCCCACAGUGCAGUUCGCAGUAGUAGCGUACAGAGCCAGACUGUUUUCUGAGCUAAAAAAGUACCACCCACAGCUUUAUGCUCCAGUUUAUUUCUCCCUGCUAGACAGAGGAUUGUUAUGAUGAAGACCAGGGCCGGCCUCUGGAUAUAUAAGGCUGGGGUGUGAGAGAUUGUUUCUGGGAUCAAGGGCUUAUCAUGAGAAGAUGGGCAAGAAGAAUAGGAAUGAGUUGGGUGGGGAAAAUGACCACUCGAAGUUCUGACUCCUCUCACCCUCUUCUGGCUACGCUUCUCUGCCACAGAACAAAUAGAGAGGUAUUCUAGGACCCCUGUGGUACUCUAAGAGGGCCUUUUCCAAAAUACUCCCAGGUCAAAAUAAUCCCUAAAUAGGCCAGUGUUGCAUCUGUCCACAUAUUAAGCCUACAAACAAACGCUUGUCCCAACAUCGUAUCAUGAGAUCCAGGCCAGUAUCCAACAAGUGAAGUUAAGAGCGCUUACUUAUAGAACAAGAGAGCGUAAUUAAAGUCCCAGGCUGGUGGUGAAGGUUUCAGAGCACCCACCAGUGAGACCGAGUCAGGUAGGGGUAAAAGAAAUGAAUGCAAAACAAUCAGAUAAAGCUUGGAGUGAGACAGAAGGUUAUCCUGGGAACAUUUAACAAUGAGAUUGGAAGGACAACAAGCAUAUAAAAGAUGUAAAAAUUUAUAAAUAUUAUCAUUGCAAAGUGACUGGAGGCACUACAUUUGGGUUCUAACAUUAUAAUAAUUAACAUCAAUAGUCUUGAGGAAGAAGAAAAAGCUUUGAAGAACAGAAAGAUGGAAAAAACAAUUGGAUUGGGUUAAAUACAUAUGGAGAAGUUACAUGCUGGAGAUGACACCAUUGUGAUGGUUUGAGGGACUGAUACUCAAGGUGUGUGAAAGGGGAAACUACCAAAGAUGUGGAGGAAAAAACCCUCAAUGUUCUUACCAAAAAACACAAAACAAAACCAAAAAUAACUGAAAGAAUAUUAAUUACUGACCCAUGGCCUACAUUGCCAUCUUUAUAAAAUUUUUCUGAAAAUAAUCUACAAAUGAAUGCUGGGUAUUUGUGAUGACGGUAAUAGAUAGGAACCUUAUGAAGGCUUUUGCAAGUGACAUUCCACAGCAGACCACCUCUUUUACCAUCACACAAUUGAUUGAAAGAUGUAUAGAAUGCAAGGUGAAGGAAUAUGGAAUGGACUCGGCUGUGACCUUGUGGGCUUCAAAUGUUUAGAAGAGUGAGCUGCUAAAGGUCCAGGCAUGGAAGUCUGUGCCAGAUUUUGCAGACACCUGGUACCUGGUGAGGAGCAAAGCACAGAGUAGCUUGACCCAGCAGAGCAGUGAGUUGACGGCAGCUAAGAGGUAGUGAUGUCAGCUCAUCCCUUGGUUAUGCUAUUGCACUUGCAAAUGAACUUUGUGGGUUAAUGCUUUGUAGCAAUCACUUUAACUUGGAUCCCACUCUCUCCAGAGAUGGAAGACUUAUAAUGGAGAGUGUCCUCCCCUCCUCCACCCUGCCCAGUUCGGAGGAAUGGUUUAUACUUCUGUUCUUUAUAAGUCUUCUCACUAUAUAUACCUUUGGGAAAGCUAAUUGAUCUUAAUCAAUUAAAUGAUAUUGUUUUUUGUUUUUGUUUUUUGGGGGGGCAGGGCAAUAACGGUUAAGUGACUUGCCCAGGGUCACACAGCUAGUAAGUGUCAAGUAGUGUCUGAGGUCGCAUUUGAACUCAGGUCCUCCUGAAUCCAGGGCCGGUGCUUUAUCCACUGUGCCACCUAGCUGCCCCCGAUUAAAUGAUAUUGGAGUGCUAAUCACUGGAGGGUAUCAAUAAUAUAAGGGAAAUAGUAACUGCAAUUGGUGAUUGAUGUUGGGGAGAACACCCCAGAAUGGGGGCCCAAGCUGAUAGCAUUAGAAAGAUACUCUCAACCCCUCAGGUCCACUUUUGAACCUUUGAGACAGCCUUGUUCUGGGAACCCGAGUUCUGCAAGCCUGUUAGUGUCCAUGUGAAUUCAGAGUUGUGCUGCACAUAUAUUACAGAUGGUAAAAUUGGGGUACCAGAAGGUGAAAUGCUUUAUCCCAAACCACAUUAUCUUUACUUCCACAGCCACCACCACUCCUAUCAAUACCAUAAUCAUUGGCAGGUAGCAAUCAUGUAGUGAAAAGAGCUGGGUUCAAAUCCUGACUCUGACACUUACUAGCUGUAUCACUCCAAAUAAAUCACUUAAUCUAGUUUCCUUAUCUUUAAAAUGGGGAGGGUAAUACUUGUACUUAUUACAGUUGUUGGAAGCAUAUAGUGAGAUAAUGUAUCUGUGAAUGUUUUUAAAUUCUAAAAGAACACAAAUGAAAGUUGCUAGUAAUAUAAAGUAUAUAGUGCUUUGGGGAGUAUAAAGCACUAUAUAUGUAUAUCUAUAUAUACAUAUAUAAAUUAUGUUAAAUAUAAUAUAUAUAUAUUCUGUUUAAAAUUCCGUAAGUACCUAUCACUUUCUAAUAUCAUUUUUCACCAACUAAGUAGAUACCCAGUUAUUCCUUGAUAAUUUUGGAGGCCUCUUUCAUUUUAAAUGAACAAGGUGACUUCAGAGCUUGGCAGAAAAUAAUAAUAAGUGGCUAUUAGCAAAUGCCCCUUCCCUGUGUGGUUCUUUCUGCUGCCAGCUCAGAAAGACACAGAAUGGACAAAAGCCAAGAAAAUGUUCUAUUUGAAGUUAGUGUCGGAUCAAAGACUUUUUGUUUUAGUGCCACAUUAAAAAAGCAGUGGAAUACUUUUGGAAAACAGAUAAACAUUCAAUGUUUCAGACCCUCCAGGCUGAGUCUGAUAAGGCUUGAUGGUGUAAAUAGAGGCUAGUUGUUGUUAUUGAGUCAUUUUUCAGAUAGUCAUUUCCCACUCCUUAUGACCCCAUUUGGGGUUUUCUUGGCAAAGAUACUGGAGUGGUUUGCCAUUUCC